rnacentral:sRNA from 1 species
UGAAAGUGACUACAUCGGG